rnacentral:piRNA from 1 species
UCCUACAGAAGGUGGAGCCGAGGAUUGUC